rnacentral:tRNA from 1 species
CGGAGUAUAGCUCAGCCUGGUUAGAGUACCGUCUUCGGAAGGCGGGGGUCGCAAGUUCAAAUCUUGCUACUCCGACCA